UCCAAUCGGGUGCGAGUGAUCACGCAGAGGACGCGUGAUCACAAGCGUGACGUUCACGUGCUACCCGGCUGAUAUCAGCGGCCGAGGCCGUGAUGUUUACGUCAUGAAAGCGUGUCUGACUAGGGCUACGUCACAGGCACGCAAACUGACAGGCCAUCUGUCAUCGGUGGCGUACGAAUUAAUCACCGACUCUUAGUUAUUUGUGGAGGACUUAGUAUUAUUUCCCAAAAUUCUCCAAGGCCUCACUACCAAAAAUACAAUUUCCCGAAAUUUUCCUGAUCCUGCCAGUCACCUCUUUAAGAAAUUGGCUCGCAGACAACGGAAGAUUUUGUAGGUGUGCAAAAUGAGGCAACAUUAAUUUUCGUCUUCGGCGUGAUUUUUAUUACAUAAUGGUCCAAAAGUGACGAUUUGGUGAUUAUUUGGCCAACCAUUGGCGAAUUUUGAUAAGCAAAGCAUUUGGAAUAUCCUUGACAUGUGGUGUGUGUGAUCACUUUAUGUUAAUUAAGUGUUUAUGGUCGAUAUCAAAUCUUAUUUAAAAAUCCCGGUUUCCAGUUUUAUUUUCGGAUGUUUUCAGAGAAAAUGUUUACUUCUUGUCCACGUGCUGUAAGGAAUGGCUUACUUUGCUUUCAUCGUGUUCAUAAUUAUUUACUAAUCAUUAAAUACACAUUUGUUUCUUCUUUUUUUAGUUUGGAACCAUAAGGUAUAGGACCCCAAACUCGGGUAUAAGAUGUAGGCUAAUCAAGGAAGUACAAGGUCCAGCACAGUAUGCCUGACAAAUUGAUUUGAAACAAUUUUUUUUUUCAAAAAAAGUUCCUGUAAUAAAUAUAUAAACAAAUUUUUUGGAUAAGUUGUUUUCUAUUAUUUUUUUAACCCAGUAUGCUGCCCAUUUUUCCAAAUGGGAAAAAUAUAUAUGCCCUCGGACUUAUCUUUUUGUUGCUAUUGACAAAGAAUAAUUUUUAUAAAUGUGCGACUAAAUAAUAUUUCCAGACUUGUGACGCAUCCUAUUUGUUUAUCAAUGUGACAUUCCCAUAGCGUUAUUUGUGUUCGUCCAUUUGUCAAUAUUUCCCGCCUGUAUUUACCUGUAUGAAGACAUCACAUCAACAUUGCGCAAAUCUUUUCUAUUUUUGUCACGAUUUUUCUAAAGUUUAUCAUCAUUAAAUAUUGUUGUUGUGUGAUGACUUGAUGAGGAUUGAACGAGGUCAGCAAACAUGACUCAUUUUUGUAAACAAUAAAAUUUAACGUAAUAAACAGUCGUGGGUGUGUU